rnacentral:miRNA from 14 species
CGGGGAGGCGAGGGGGGACCUGCGGGCGGGCGGCCCAGGCCCGGGGCGGAGCCGGAGCGGGGAUCCAGGAGCGCCCGGAGCGGGUCUCCCACUCGCCCCCACCGCGCAAGGGCGCCGCCCGCUCCCC